rnacentral:rRNA from 1 species
AUUGAACGCUGGCGGCAGGCUUAACACAUGCAAGUCGAGCGAGCGGCGGACGUGUGAGUAAUGUCUGGGAACCUGCCUGAUGGAGGGGGAUAACUACUGGAACGGGUAGCUAAUACCGCAUACUAUCGGAUGUGCCCAGCUGGGAUUAGCUAGUUGGUGGGGUAAUGGUUCCCCGAGGCGACGAUCCCUAGCUGGUCUGAGAGGAUGACCAGCCAGACGGGAACGGAGACACGGACCAGACUCCUACGGGAGGCAGCAGUGGGGAAUAUUGGACAAUGGGCGCAAGCCUGAUGGAGCCAUGCCGCGUGUGUGAAGAAGGCCUUCGGGUUGUAAAGCACUUUCAGCGAGGAGGCGGUACUCGCAGAAGAAGCACCGGCUAACUCCGUGCCAGCAGCCGCGGUAAUAC